UGAUACUGAUGGGCAAGGUUUGAGUGGAUUUCAAGGUCAGGGAACACCUGGAGCUUAUGCGCAAGGACCGAGCUCUGGAACUUAUGCGCAAGGACCAAGCUCUGGAGCUUAUGGGCAAGGACCAAGCUCUGGAGCUUACGGCCAAGGACCUAGCUCUGCAGCUUACGGCCAAGGACCGAGCUCUGCAGCUUACGGCCAAGGACCGAGCUCUGCAGCUUACGGCCAAGGAACGGCAUCUGGUAAUGGGCAGGGAUACCCUGCACAUGGAGGAGAUGAGAGGUUCCAACAAAGUAACUCUGCACCCAUGGGACACCCAGGGAUUGACCAA
rnacentral:lncRNA from 1 species